GUUUCUAAAUUCUUUACGUUCUUCUCCUAUCAAUACUAGCACUAAGGAUUAUCAAAAUCACACAGGUUAGAACCCAGCUUUCUAUCUGAGCAUCAGAUUGCAGAGAGAGAGAGAAAGAGAGAGAGACUGAGAGAGAGAGAGGGUGUUGUAGGUGGAGGGCAGGGCAAGGCUUAAACCUGAGGCUUACAUUUUGUGUGCUUCAUUCCUUCUUAUUAAUGACAAUCUGACUAUUAGGCCAGUCCAAACUGGCUUAUGUACCUUCCUGAAAUACAGAUCCAGGGGUCCUCUGGUGUACAAAAAAAUACUAUAGUAAUAAGAAAAUCACAUAUAAAUGGAAUUUUCAAUUACAGGAACUCAAAAGUACAGAUAAAUCAUAAAGAUUUAAUCCAAUAAGAAUUUGUAGGCUGUUAAAAUCAAAUUUAGAAUUAAGUAAAGGAAUUUGGGAAUGGGCAAAAGAUAUACAAAAUAUUUGACAAAUAAAUCUCAGAGAACAUCAAUUUCCUUUAUUGCCCCUACUUCUAUGUUCUCAGAUCCUUGUUAAUCCUGGAAGGGCCCCCGUUGGGUCAGCCUGUGUCUGCUGUGGGGUAUAGUGUCCAAAGAUAUACUCUUAGCCAUUUUGUAUUCACAAUGAUUCAUUUUUUGGAAACUGAAGAAAACUUACUCUAAAAGCCAAGUUGGGGUCGGGGGAGAGAGGAUAAGAACAAGUGCUCUGGCAGGCUACAAAUAACCUAGAAUCAAUAGUUUUCAAGUUUCUGACAGAGCCAGGUUAAGGAUGUUGGAAUUGCAGCAGUUGUACCUACUUGUCAAAGCUGACACACACAUCCUUAGACAAAUGCACACUUAAAUUAAGGAUGCUGAGUUCAAUUGUCAAGGGUCCCCCAUUCCAGGACUAAAAAAAAAAAAAAAAUCCUGGGAGGGAAAAGGGGGAGAACCAUAUGGCCGAUGGCAAGGAGCCGGAGAAGAAAAGAAGGAGAAUAGAGGAGCUGCUGGCUGAGAAAAUUGCUGUUGAUGGUGGGUGUGGGGACACUAGAGACUGGGAAGGUCGCUGGAACCCUAUAAAGAAGUUCCUCGAGCGAUCUGGACCCUUCACACACCCUGAUUUCGAACCGAGCACUGCAUCUCUCCCGUUCUUGUUAGAUACUUGUAAAAUUCUCGUCAUUGGAGCUGGAGGCUUAGGAUGUGAGCUCCUGAAAAAUCUGGCCUUGUCUGGUUUUAGACGGAUUCAUGUUAUAGAUAUGGACACUAUAGACGUUUCCAAUCUAAAUAGGCAGUUUUUAUUUAGGCCUAAAGGUGUUGGAAGACCUAAGGCUGAAGUUGCUGCAGAAUUUCUAAAUGACAGAGUUCCUAAUUGCAAUGUAGUUCCACCUGUCAGCAAGAUUCAAGAUUUUAACGACACUUUCUAUCUACAAUUUCAUAUUAUUGUCUGUGGACUGGACUCUAUCAUAGCCAGAAGUUGGAUAAAUGGCAUGCCGAUAUCUCUUCUAAAUUAUGAAGAUGGUGUCUUAGAUCCAAGCUCCAUUAUCCCUUUGAUAGAUGGAGGGACAGAAGGUUUUAAAGGAAACGCCCGGUUGAUUCUGCCUGGAAUGACUGCUUGUAUCGAAUGCACGCUGGAACUUUAUCCACCACAGGUUAGUUUUCCCAUGUGUACCAUUGCAUCUAUGCCCAGGGUACCAGAGCACUGUAUUGAGUAUGUAAGGAUGUUGCAGUGGCCUAAGGAGCAGCCUUUUGGAGAAGGUGUUCCAUUAGAUGGAGAUGAUCCUGAACAUAUACAACGGAUUUUCCAAAAAUCUCUAGAGAGAGCAUCACAAUAUAAUAUUAGGGGUGUUACAUAUAGACUCACUCAAGGGGUAGUAAAAAGAAUCAUUCCUGCAGCAGCUACCACAAAUGCAGUCAUUGCAGCUGUGUGUGCCACUGAGGUUUUUAAAAUAGCCACAAGUGCAUACAUUCCCUUGAAUAAUUACUUGGUUUUCAGUGAUGUAGAUGGGCUGUAUACAUACACAUUUGAAGCGGAGAGAAAGGAAAACUGCCCAGCCUGUAGCCAGCUUCCUCAAAAUAUUCAAUUUUCUUUAUCAGCUAAACUACAGGAAGCUUUGGAUUAUCUAACCAAUAGUGCUUCUCUGCAAAUGAAAUCUCCAGGCAUCCCAGCCACCCUAGAGGGAAAAAAUAGAACACUUUACUUACAGUCGGUAACCUCUAUUGAAGAACGAACAAGGCCAAAUCUCUCCAAAGCAUUGAAAGAAUUGGGGCUUGUUGAUGGAUAAGAACUGGCGGUUGCUGAUGUCACCGCACCGCAGACUGUGCUAUUCAAACUUCGUUUUAUUUCUUAAGGAAAAUCUGCACAUAAUAGAAAACUCAUGGAAAUAAUAUACUUUGUGGAUGCUAAGACCUUUAAUUGAUGUCAUUUUUAGCAAUGGUGUUGCUAUGGUUUGACUUUUUUUCUAUAAUGAACCACUCUUUUUUAACUUUGUAACUUUCCCUUCAAGAUGGGAUUUUGGUGUUGGUGCUUGUAAACAUUUUCAUCAAUAAUAUGGGAAAUGAUACCUGGAGAGAGAGAUUAUGAGAAAAUGUAUUGCCUCUUUUAGAGGUGGAAGCACACACCCUCUUCUAUGUGAACUUUGUUAUUAUGGUCAAAGAAUGCAUUCCUAGUUUUCAUUUGAGUACCCAGAUACACAAAAGAUGUCCCUUUAAAUAAAAUAAAGAAUCAAUUUUUACAUAAUAUUAGAUAUUACAAUCUGUCAUCUGGAGUAUAUUGAACAUAGGCUAUCCUUUAUUUAAUAUUCAUUUAAUUAUGGCCAUCCAAAUGAAUAUUAAUUAUUGCAGAAUUUAUCUUGUCCGUAAUUUGUCAACGGUGUUAUAGCUGAAUACCUGUGCAUGAAAAUGGGCAGUAUUUUCAUCUGUUUACUUGUAGUGCCAGAGAGGCCAAUAUGCACAAAAUUAACACCAAGACAUGGCUAUUUAAAAAAUUUCAUGUUCAAACAGUUAUCACUGAUGCUUUUGCAUGAUUUAUUAAUAAAAUCGUAUAUUGUG